GUGCUUAACACAUGCAAGUCGAGUGCGCAGUUUUCUGUAGCAAUACAGGAGAUCGGCGCACGGCGCACGGGUGCGUAACACGUGGGUAACCUGCCCUCCAAAGGGGGAUAACCCGCCGAAAGGCGGGCUAAUACCGCAUGACAUUCCGGUGGCCUCGGCCGCCGGAAUCAAAGCUCGAGAGGGCGUUGGAGGAGGGGCCCGCGGCCGAUUAGCUUGUUGGCGAGGUAACGGCUCACCGAGGCUUUGAUCGGUAGCCGGUCUGAGAGGAUGGCCGGCCACACUGGAACUGAGACACGGUCCAG
rnacentral:rRNA from 1 species